UGAAUGGAAUGAGUUCAUAGGAUCCCACUGUAAUAGGUAUGAAUCAAGUUUAGUUAAUAGGGUGCAAGUUGGUUAGCUUUCAUAGGAAAAUUACUUGAACCAUUGGCACCCAGAAUUUGCAACUGUAACACCCGUCUUGUAAUUACUAGUAGAUAUGCUAUACCUGGUUGGAUGUUCUAGAGAAGCCCCUUACGUUUGGCAUUUACACUGCUGGC
rnacentral:lncRNA from 1 species